rnacentral:rRNA from 1 species
GAUGAACGCUGGCGGCGCGCCUAACACAUGCAAGUCGAACGGAGUUACUCUGAAUGAAGUUUUCGGAUGGAUUUUGGAUUAACUUAGUGGCGAACGGGUGAGUAACGCGUGAGUAACCUGCCCUGGAGUGGGGGACAACAGUUGGAAACGACUGCUAAUACCGCAUAAGCCCACAGUGCCGCAUGGCACAGCGGGAAAAGGAUUUAUUCGCUUCAGGAUGGACUCGCGUCCAAUUAGCUAGUUGGUGAGGUAACGGCCCACCAAGGCGACGAUUGGUAGCCGGACUGAGAGGUUGAACGGGCCACAUUGGGACUGAGACACGGCCCAGACUCCUACGGGAGGCAGCAGUGGGGGAUAUUGCACAAUGGGGGAAACCCUGAUGCAGCGACGCCGCGUGGAGGAUGAAGGCUCUAUGGGUCGUAAACUUCUUUUAUAUAAGAAUAAAGUGCAGUAUGUAUACUGUUUUUG